GAUGAACGCUAGCUACAGGCUUAACACAUGCAAGUCGCGGGGCAGCAUGGGGGUUGCUUGCACUCCCUGAUGGCGACCGGCGCACGGGUGAGUAACGCGUAUCCAACCUGCCCUUCACCACGGGAUAACCCGGCGAAAGUCGGACUAAUACCGUAUGUUGUCCAUUGACGGCAUCCGAUUUGGACGAAAGGCUUAGCGGUGAGGGAUGGGGAUGCGUCCGAUUAGCUUGACGGCGGGGUGACGGCCCACCGUGGCUACGAUCGGUAGGGGUUCUGAGAGGAAGGUCCCCCACACUGGAACUGAGACACGGUCCAGACUCCUACGGGAGGCAGCAGUGAGGAAUAUUGGUCAAUGGGCGUAAGCCUGAACCAGCCAAGUAGCGUGCAGGAUGACGGCCCUAUGGGUUGUAAACUGCUUUUAUGCGGGGAUAAAGGGACCCACGUGUGGGUUUUUGCAGGUACCGCAUGAAUAAGGACCGGCUAAUUCCGUG
rnacentral:rRNA from 1 species